UACAGAGGUCUCGAGCGUUUGUUCGGAUUCAUUGGGCGUAAAGAGUGUGUAGGCGGUGCUCCCAGUCUGUUGUGAAAUCUCCCGGCUUAACUGGGAGGGUGCAGCGGAAACUAGAGUGCUAGAGGGUGGGAGAGGUAAGCGGAAUUCCUGGUGUAGCGGUGAAAUGCGUAGAUAUCAGGAGGAACACCGGUGGUGUAAACGCUUUCUGGACCAUAACUGACGUGAGGCACGAAAAGCGUGGGUAGCAAACAGG
rnacentral:rRNA from 1 species